rnacentral:rRNA from 2 species
AGGUGGCGAGCGUUGUCCGGAAUUACUGGGUGUAAAGGGAGUGUAGGCGGGAAAGCAAGUCAGAAGUGAAAACUAUGGGCUCAACCCAUAGCCUGCUUUUGAAACUGUUUUUCUUGAGUGAAGUAGAGGCAAGCGGGAUUCCUAGUGUAGCGGUGAAAUGCGUAGAUAUUAGGAGGAACACCAGUGGCGAAGGCGGCUUGCUGGGCUUUUACUGACGCUGAGGCUCGAAAGCGUGGGGAGCAAACAGGAUUAGAUACCCUGGUAGUCCACGCCGUAAACGAUGAUAACUAGGUGUGGGGAGCGAACCUUUCCGUGCCGGAGUAAACACAAUAAGUUAUCCACCUGGGGAGUACGGCCGCAAGGCUG